AAGUCGUAACAAGGUUUCCGUAGGUGAACCUGCGGAAGGAACAUUAUCGAGCUCCUGCCCCCCGGGCUAGAUCUCCCACCCUAGCUUAUCCAACUUUGUUGCUUUGUUGGGUCGUCCGUUCGGCCACCGGCCCCCCGGCUGGGGCGUGACCGUCAGACACCCACACACGCUCUUGAUUGUGUUGUCUUAUCCCUUAUAUAAACCCUUCUGCUUUUUCCUGAGGAUCGCUUGGUUCUGGGAUCGAUAAAGAACGCAGCGAAUUGGGAUAAGAAAUGUGAAGUGCGGAAUUGNAGGAAUCGUCNAAUCAUUGAGCGCUGAUUGCGCCUCUUGUUAUUUUGAGGGGCAUGCAUGUUCGAGCGUCAUACCUGCNAUCCCCUCNUUACNAAUGUACCCUGCCGGCGACGCGAGGUCCUAAAUUGAGUGUNANUNAUCGCAGGCGCUCGAGCGUAGUAGCCUAUCUCGCUUGGAGGCGCGUGCGAUCUUGACCAGCAAACCUCAGAUACGUGUUUAUAGAGGACGUUGGAUCAGGUAGGAAUACCCGCUGAACUUAAGCAUAUCAAUAAUCCGAGGAAAAGAACCCAACAGGGAUUGUCUCAGUAACGGCGAGUGAAGCGGCAACAGCUCAAAUUGGAAAUCUGUCUCCUCUACCGGCUCCGAAUUGUAAUUUGCAGGAGAUGCUUCGGGCGUGGUGCCGGUCCAAGUUACUGAGAACAAGAUUCCNCCGAGGGUGAGAGCCCCGUACGAUCGCGCGCCUAUUUCCGCGAGAAGCUCUUUCGACGAGUCGAGUUCUUUGGGAAUGCAGCUCAAAAUGGGUGGUAAAUCUCAUCUAAAGCUAAAUACCUGCCAGAGACCGAUAGCGCACAAGUAGAAUGAUCGAAAGAAGAAAAGCUCUUCGGAAAGAGAAUUAAUCAGUACGUGAAAUUGUUGAAAGGGAAGCGCUGGCCACCAGUCUUUCGCUCGUGCGAUCAUCCGGGGUUCUCUCCGGCGCACUAGCUCGCGCUCGGUGGUUGGAUAAAGGUCGCGGGAACGUGGCUCCUCUCGGGGAGUGUUAUAGCCCGCGGCGACAUGCAGCCCACCGGGAUCGAGGACCGCGCUUCGGCUUGGAUGCUGGCGUAAUGGUGGUCAACGACC
rnacentral:rRNA from 1 species